UGUUGGCCUGAAGGGCUUGUGACACGC
rnacentral:sRNA from 1 species